CUGGCUCAGAGAAUCAUGGGGACAGUCAUGCCCAGGAUGCAGGGCCUGGUUCCAGAGGCCUUGGAAGCUGAGAUGAAGUCCCCAGGCAACAGGAACUGUGAGAGGUCCCUGCUUGUGGGGGUCCUGUGGUGGGAGGUGGUUUAAGGGAACUGGUCUGGGGUUGGGAUGGAGAUGCCUAGAAGAAGGAGUCGGUUAUAACACUCCACAGGCAGAGAGAGAGAAGUGGGAGACCACCAGGGUGGGCUGGGGAAGUAGGAGGAUCACAAGUGGAAUCACACACCCAUGGCCCUCCGAAGCCCGGUGAGUCGGCAGUCAGGGGUGCAGUCAUCCUGCUCUCGGUUACUCUAGGUUUUAGAGCACCACCAGCCCAGCGACCACGAGACCCCAGCUUCCAGAAGACCGGACAGUCGGGCCUUCUGCCACCCCGUGAUCUUCCGCCCUUCCCUCCAUAUCCAGAGACACCGUCCCACCCUGGUCUCCAGGAGGUAGGGCCCAAGCACAGCGAUUGUGACACUGUGCUUGUGUGUCAUCUUGUAACUGGGUUUCCACAUCCUCCUGGCUAUAUUGUAAAAGCCCUAGAAGAGGAACAAGAGCAAAUAAUGAAAUAUAGGAAUGCAGGAAAAGAGGAAGCCGCCGCGAGAUACCAGCCCAACCGAAAUACAAAGAAUUAUGGAGAAGUGACAGAAAGGGAAGUAAGAGUAAGGAAUUGCAUUGAGUAGCUUAGCAGAGUGCGUGCGCACACACACAGACAAAGCCAUGCACACGCACAGACACACAGCCGUGCACACACAGACACACCCCACAGACACACAUGUACACACAGACACACACAGAAACACAGGCACAAAGACACACUCACACACUCUCACAAAUUCACACACACACAGCCUUUCUUGGGUCUAAAUUAAACUGCUAGAAGAGUAUGAGCUCAUAGUUGUCAGCCUUGGAGGGACAGUAACAAGUUCACUCUAUGGUCCAGAUGGCUGAGAGAGAUCAUCCAAGUGCGCUGGCUCCAGACCAUCUGUCCCCACAGGGUACUAGAUCCAGAAGUUCCUGAUAGUUCUAGAAGGCCAUUCUGUUAUUUUUCUUUUGUAUUUAAAAAGCCAGAGUUAAAAUAUGGUAAAACUUCCUUACAUUAUAAUCAAAAACUUAAUUUUAGGGCUGAGACGCAAAGUGGACUAAUGGAAAAGAAAACAUAAAUCUAUCGGGGUAGAUGCGUUUAGGGACCCCCACAUCAUUUUUUAAGCGAGGAAAACAGGCAAGGAGAGAAAAGCCUGAAACUGAGGGAAAAUGAGAACAACACAGUGAAUUAACCCAUCUGUGGCAUUUUCUGUUCGUGGAGAUAACCAGUGGCAGAGCUCUGAGUCAAAGACAUCCCCACUGAAGGAGCGUGGAAGUUGCUGAGAAAAAGUCCUUAUCUAGCAUUUUCACAGGCAUGUGGCAGGAGGGGCAGGACAGCCGGGAGGCCUCCAGCCUGCUCUGCUCACUGUGGCCUCGGAGUUCACAGGGAACGCUGCCUCCCUAGGGCAGGUUUUUAAAUGAAUGCACCGCUUUCCCUCUUCCUUAUUUUCCAAGAGAAACACUGGCUAGCCCCAGAACUCUCAUUGUUCUUAGAGGAAACUGCUGAAUAUCUGUUGGAAUUAAAAUUUGACUGGGACUUUCUGAGGACUGUUUCUUUCCAUUUAUUUAUUUAUUUAUUUAUUUAUUUAUUUAUUCGCAAGCUAACACAUUAAACUUUGGAGUGAAUUAAGAGAGACUGCAGAUUCAGUAAAAUUUGGACAAGAGCAUUGGCCACAGCCUCUUAGCACGCAGCCCAGUGGGCACAGGGUUUCCAGUGGAUGGUGUGGCCCUGCAGAGCGGGGCACACCUAGCCAGGACUCUCUUGUGCUCUCGCCUCCCAUCCGGCGGCCAGGCCUCAAGGCGGGCGUUGGCCGGUACCCCAACCCAUCCUUAUACAUGACACUGACUGCUCUCAACCCCUCAAUAGCUCACUGAUAAUGAUGACCACUCUGCAAUCCAGCUGGCUAGGCAGGAUCAUCCGAGUGCACCCAGGACCAUCUGCUCUCACAGGGUACUAAAUCCAGAACUUCCUGAUAGUUCUAGAAGGCCAUUCACAGGUGCCCUUCCCCAUGUGAAUUUCCGCCUGUUGGGAAGCAGAGCUCACACAUCUCAGUCAUUUGCCUGCAGAAUGGAGGAGGCUUCUCAAGAUUUGCCUGAUGGAGACUGAGGCCACUGGGGAGAGAGGCAUGAGGCUGGUCAUCUCCACCUUCCCCCAAGACCCAGGCCUGUCCCCCUCCUCACCUGAGGACUCUGCCUCAGAAGCUUCCUAUGGGAAUCUCCUGAACAGGUGUCACAAAAGGCAUUGCCACGCAUUAUGUAUUGUUCCUACCCAAAGUGACGUUUUUGACGCUGAAGCAUAGUACUGAUGCUGUCCAAAUGCAUCACUGAAAUCCUACGCUUGAGUAUCUUCCCUUCUAGAUAAACUUCAGGGCAUUCAACAAGCUGGAGGGGAGGUCUAAGUUUCUGCACUAACCACUCUCCAUCCCCAUCAUGGGGAGACAGCCUGGUGACCACAGGGCCUGUAACCAACGGUAUGGGUUGGUUACUUUAAAAAUUCUUCACCAAUACUAGGGAAAAGACAAGCAGAAAUGCUAGAGAGGGUAAUGGAAGACCCGUGACUCCAGGAUUUUGGUGUUCUCUUUUUGGCAAGAGUAUUUCUCAUCUCUCAACCUUGACUUUUUGUUCUCUCUUAAAAAACAAAAACGUACAGUACAAAGACUGCUGCCCUGUCUUUCUGCCUUGUAGUAUCUCCUGCCAGCCACCUCUUAGGCUCCCUUCAGGCCUGUGUUCAAUAACGGGGGCACCCAGAGCCCUCGCCCCAGCUCUGCCCCUUGCUUGAUGUCUGCCCUGUGCCUGGGAGGCUUUGGAACGGGCUCUGUCCACACAGGUGCAGCCAGAAAGCAGAAUGAUGCUCACCUCCGCCAGGCUGCCCUGGCUAGUGGGGGCUCUGGUGGGAUGGAAGCCCGGGCACCCACAGCAGUAACCAACUGGAUGACACACCUUUGCACUGGUUUUCCAUUUUCAUCCUCCUCUUCUCCCCAGGAUCACCGUUCAUGAACCAGCUGCUCACAGCACCUGUGUUGGGCUUGCUGUGGAGGGUGCCUAGGCUGCAAGAACCACUGAUCCUUCCACACCAGGGAGAACUGCUAAAGACGCACCUUGCAGGCACAGAAGGGACACCACACCUGGGGCUUUUAAAUCCUGAGUCACAGAUGAACCUGGCAGAGCACACAAAUCAGCGCCCUCCAGGAUGAUGCUAUGGGGGGAAUUCUGCCUCCUCUAUGUUCUGACAUCAUUCCAACCUUUACUAAGAUCCCAGCAUCCUGGCUUGGGGCCUCCCUGGGUCCCAGUGUGGCAUGAAGGGUCUGCUUCUUGUAACAGAGGUGCUGGGGGCAGGGGGACCCGGGACAACAGCAACUUCCUGCAGAAAACAGGCACAGGGCCCUCAGAAAUGUGAUACUCCUGGAGAGAAAUAUGUAAAAGGAUUGUGGGAUCAUGGAUACAUUUUAAUAAAUGCGAGUGUUUGUGACUAGUACAUCUAGAGAUUCGCUGAAAAGAGAGCCCCUUGAAUAAAAAGGACACAGUUGAAGAUUCUUCCUGGAGCAAAAGUGGCAUCUACUGGCCCCUGGGCUCUUCACAGCCUCGGGGGCUGACCCACCUGAGCUCACCUGGAAGCUCUGACUCUUCCGGCCAGGAUGUCCUCUCCUGCAUCACUGGAGGAUUAGCCUGGAUGGUUAGCCCUUCUCUCUUAUAAGGGUGACAGCAUGGCAGGAGGUGAGGAUAGAGGGAGGAGGGCAACUUCUUUUUCUCUUCUCCCUCACAGGGCCACAACAUCCAUUGCAGAAACAAGAAAGGAGGGGCCAGCAGGCGCAGGUGGCUUCCAGACCUCAGGCCUUGCAGGAGGUGUUAGGGCAGGGGAAGGAGCUUUUGGCUGAAACUGCUCAUCAUGGCAAGAGUGUGGCUGGCAGAACUGAGGAAGAGGAAAGGCAGCUUGCUUGCUCUCUCUCUCUAAAUGCAAGUGCCCUGGAAGCUUUGGAAACAUGGAGCUGCAAAUUCUGCUGAAUGUUGGUGGAAGGGAAGGGCCCCAUUGCUCUCCCUGCCUCCUGUGCCUGGGCUGUGGCACAGCAUCCUAGCAGACCACUCACUGGGCAGCCCCUCAGGCUUCUCCAGCUCUUUCUUUCAUGUCUUUCUGUGUCUUCUAUGAAAAGAUUCUACCAUAAGAUCUAAGCAAGGGUAAGCAGGGGAAAAGAGGCGUGGACAGCCAUCACCUGGCUUAUGAGCAAUAUUUCAUUUGCAGAAAACAAAGUAUAAAAAAAUUCUUAAAAUAUGUAAGAGAGGAAAAUACAAAUAUGUGUAAUUCAUAGAAAGUCUUACCUUAUGCAAGGAUAAGAUAUACAAAUUUAGGAUAGUGAUUAUGCCAUGAUAUGUCAUGGCUGAGGGCCAAGUAAAAUAAAUUUCCUAAUAAAUAAUAAAAACACAUUUAUACAUUAGAUAAAAAUGUCAUUAGUAUUUGAUUUCAACUUGGAGGCUUCCUUUAAGUGAUAGAAGCACAACAAAAACUUAAAAUGAAAAAACUGAAGAGAGACCGAAGAGGUUGAAAAUGUCACCGCUUUGGUCUCAUUCUGAAACACUAAACUUAAAAUAUAUAAACUUUAAGAUCAACAGAAUCACCAGCCAAUCCCAUCCCGUCCCAUUGACAUUAUUCUUACUCAGAAGUUGUACACAUCAUCCAUAUCAGCUAGUGAUGAUAGGUCAAGAAUGAGAAAGAAAGUAAAACUGAUCUCUGAGGUAAUCAACCAAAAGAGAAGCAAAAAACCCUUGACCUAAAAUUCAUGCAUUUACUCAUGGGCAAGUCCCUCAUACACUCUCUCGGCACUUACACACACUCUCUUUAGGCACAGUUGUAAAAAUGAUUAAAUGGUUCUUUCUUAUUGUAAUUCCCAGCAGAUUAGAAGUAGCAAAUUAGAAUGCAGAGGAAGAGACAGAUAAUACUAUCCAAGCAGAUAAGAGAAUUCAAAGCCAGGAUCAUUUAGGGUACAGCUAUUAGCUCUCUAUGCACAAUGACUUUUCAGAAGUGAGGUUCAGGACCUAUGGCCAGGGAAACACAAGUGUACUUUCUGGCUGAAAGAGCACUACACAGUUGAAAUCUGGACUGUUGUGGAAACUGUAGAAGUCAAUUUCUCUGCUGCAUUGGAGGCAACAGAAAUGUGUGCUGAAGGAAUGAAUAAGAAAACUAAUAAACUGAUAAUACAAUCUUCUCUGCUUAAGGGGUUUAUAAUUUACUGUGUGUGCCCACAAAUUAACUCCCUGUAAUGCCAGAGCUAGUAUUUAGGAUAGUACUUUUGAGCUAAGAAGAAAAGACUGAAGCGUUUUCAAGAAAGUCUUUAAAGAAUCUUGGCAUGGGGGCGGGGGGGAAUUGUUAGUAGGUUCUAGGAAGAGUCCUCAUCCAAAAGUGUUAAAAUACACAAGAAAUAAAAUGAGGUAGGCUUGAGCAGUUUAGAAAAUUUAGUCUUGAAAUGCUCCUUCCCCUAAAUGCUGGAUUAAGGUAAUACUGGCCAAGGUAGCCUCCAAACGUGUGAGCAGGAGUGUGAGGCCUGACAUAGCCCCAGAUAGUGCAGGGGCUCUAGAAAAAUCUUUGUUGCAAUGAAGGGCUCACUGGCCAGCUAGCUGAAUGAUUUCAUACAUGAACAGGGCAGCACAUUUUACUUCACAUAUCCAUUUCUGAGCAAAGAUAUUGUUGAUUUGAUUGCAACUAUGUUCAAAGCGCACAAAUCUCAGGUGGGGUAAAUGAGGUUGGUGUGACUGCUUCCAGGGUCCUGCUGCCGGGAAAGUAGAUAUGGAGGAAACACAGAACAUUCUGAGAUGAAAAACAGGAAAUGGGUGAAUUCAGUGCCCCUUCUGGGAAAUGAUGAAAUGAAAUAUGUUUUAACCUUAAGGUGUAAUCAUGCAAAACUUAGUUUAUCAAGGUUACUAAGACAUGAUUUUACAUCAAGAUAAGUGACUUUUUAAAAUUAAAAAAUCCAAUUUACAUAAUGGUUAAAUCUACUCCCAAUAUCAUAAAAAUAUAAUGGUUAAAUCCACACCCCCACUCCCCAUAUUAUAAAAACUGCAUUAAAAAAGAGAGAGCAUGUAAUGAACAAUUGAGAUGUGGUAAAUGUUUUGGUGAUCUUAAAUCCAAACUAAUGAAGUCUAUAGUUAAUUGGCUUCCACUAUUUUAUUCCGAGAGGUAACACACGAACUGAAUUAAACAAUUAAGAGUUACUGUGUUAAAAUAUAAACCUCUUUUGCUAGAAUGCAUAGCUAGUAUUUAAACGCAGGUCUUAAAUUGCUAAAUACAGAAAACAGAAACACACUUGGCUCCCUGGGUCCUUGGCCCCAGCGCAGCUGAAUGUGAGACUGCCUCUGAGUCAACCCGGGCAAGCCAGCACGCAGGGAUAAAGCGCUACCAGAGCCCAGCUUGCUCUGCUAUUUCUUUCACAGAUUGACACCCGGCAGUUGUACAAAUCAUACCAAAGAUCUACAUUUAUGAGUAACCAAUGCAAAUGAGAGGGAAUGAAAGAACAGAAAUGAUGGGAAAUCUAACAGCAUAAUAUGUUCACACUUCAGUGACACAUUUCUAACGGUUAAGCACAAGGCAGAAUUAUCUGUGCACGAGGUGAGGUCGUCGUUAGAGUCCACUGGUGUAACGUGCCGUCAGAACCCAAUUUAUCCUCACUCAUCUGCCUGCCUCGGAAUCCUGCCCCAAGAUUCUCUACCCAGCUGCAAAGUCACCUGCAGCAAACUCUCUUUCAAAAUCAGUGGGGAGGGCAUGGGUUAUGGGUGGGUUCAGAAAUGCUACCUGUUCAGUUCACUAAAUUCCCAGAUGGGCUCUGAAAAUCAAACUUAGCAUCUGCACCGUGAAAGCCAAAGGUGACUGGAAACAGUGGUGAGGGGAACAUCUGUACAGGCUUCUUGAGAAACAGAGUCAGGGACCAGCCUCUGGAGCUGGGCUCCACCUCAAAGAGGGAAUGUGCAGACCCUGUGGGUGCUGGAUUCAGGUCUGCAUCACAGGAUGUCAGACCACGGUCCCUUCAAGGAUACAGCAUCAACAUGUGCUGGUCAGAGAGUGGGCAGCCGGCUCCAGGCCUCCCAGCGGACGGUGGUGGCCAUGGGAUUCAAGCCCAGCCUGCAAGGCCCACCCCGGGGCUGCCCCACCUCCCUACACCCUGCUGCCCCUCUUCCCAUGUCUGCUGAGACAUCUCUACUGAUGUGGGGGUGAUUUCAUGUGUUUCUCAGAGCUUCUUACAUCUAAGUUUGGAAUUUUCAAACCUACGGCUUUCUGAAUGAAUUUAUAAAGUGAGUAAGACACUGUCUUGUUUCCAAAGUCUUGACUGAAACUUUGCAUGGAGGGUGCUCAUAGGUUUCAGCCUUAUUUUUCAUAGACCCAAUAACAUGUUUUAAAACAUAAGCAUGAAUGCCCUCAAUGUGACAGGGUUUUCACUAGGAUGGUACUUCCUAUAAGAUUUAUUGAUAAAAUGCAAUAGAAUAAAUGGUUCCAGCUAGCUAUCAUUUUGGGGUAAGUUACCCCAAUAACUCCCCACCCAUUCCCCAUCACCCCCAUGCCCACUCAGCUUAUAGACUGGGUGGCUGUUACUGCCUGCAGGAUAGACUUCUGGAAGACCUCCCUGCUGCCAGCCCUCCCCACAGGGUCUGUCCCCUUGGCCCACGAUAAACCAAAGCCGGCGGUGAGGCUUCCAUGGCUAAACCUGCUCUUCCUUGGUCCACGUUUUGUUCCCACUCCCUGUUCCUUUUCCCCAUCCAUCUCUUCUAAAAUCCUACCCAUUCUUAUAGGUACAUAAUACACGUCCUAUCUUCUAAAAAUUCCAUGCGCUUCUCAUCAAAACUGUUUUCUCUCCUUGCUUAUUUUAUAAAGACUCAGGCCAUUUCUUAUUCACCUUCCUUACUCCUCAUUACACACUCAACAAACACUUCGCAAGAAAAACUAGACUGGAUAGUAGCUAUAUAGUCAGAUUUCCCUAACAGUUUACUAGUGCUAUUUAGAACACAACACCAACAUGUCUCAGUAUGUUAUUCAGCUAAUAGUUGAUCUUUUGGUGGCAACAAAGGCCAUGAACACACAGGCCUACACUAGACAGUGGUAAUGACUAAGAGUUAAAGAGCAAAAGAUUUAUAAUCAGAAGAUGUGGGUUCAUACCAGUUGUGCGAUGGGAAGAUCAGUUCAUUAACCUCCGUUCGUGUUAUAAACUGGCUGACCCCAUGACCAAGCAGGAGGCUGGCGAUGCUAAGUAGCACCUGCCACCUCUAGGCCAUGCUGGAGACUGGACCUGUGCCAGGGACCUUCCUCAUCUGUGAAGCAUAGAAAGGGCCAUGCCUGCCCAUGACAAGGACCAAAUAACAUAAACUGCCCCACGGCCAGUGGGGCCUAUCUCCUUUGUUGAAGGACAACUCUCCUUAGCAUCUGUAGUGCAUGGUUCUGGUGCAUUUUAUUCAAUGAGUGGGUACAUCACUGUGCAAAAUAACAAAUCGCUUGUUGAGAUUGCUCUGCCAUGACCAUCUCAAGUGCUGCCUUGUUUGUUUAUUUUUUACUAUGUCCAUCUUCAGAAGAGUUGCUGACUUAACAAUAUCUGGCAUGGUGGUUCACUUUGCUCAUUCUCGAAACAAAAUGGUGGCCUGUCUCAUUGUUCAAGUGGGCAGGGCCUCUGCUGCGGCUGUGGAUGAUGUCCAGGGUCUGAAAACCACUAUGUUCUUGCUCUAAUCUUGGUCCCAUAGCAAUAAGGAAGCAGCAUCUUAAGGAGGUGUUUUACCUCAAAGAAUGUCCCAAAAAUAACUGUUUCUCAUUGAACAUAGCUCACACUCAUUUUCCUUUUAGAAGUGAGAAUUCUGCUAAUAGCCAACGUGUGGGGCAUCUUACAAAAUCAAUAAUCAACAAACGCCCCUCUCCUUCUCCUUCUUCCUCAGCUAGGACUAACAUGGAUUCUGGAAGAGCCAGAUAUGUCAUGUCCGGAGGCAACAAUUUAAGACUUCAAAGAAUUUAUUUUUCUGACAAACUUAAAAAAUGAAUUUCUUUCACUAUCUAACAAUUAUGCAGUAUGGCUGACUGAUGGGAUAUCAAAGGAGAUUUCUCUCAAAAAAGGAAUUCUCUUGGAAAUGUCCCUGGCAUAUCAGCGGGAAAACCUGUGAUUUUCUUUAUUCUUUUGAAAUAAAGGGCAUACUUCACACUUUGGUUACACUAAAAUGUCCCUUGGUCCCCUGCAUGGCCCCCUGCUCUGUGGUCCCCUCUGUGUACCUUGCAAAGUGGGCCUCCCUGGUAUGAGUCGGGGAAAUGGGAUGGGUGUCCAUCUGCAGCACAGCUUGGUUCAAUGCAAACACGAGGGUUGCACAGAGCGUCACAAAGAGCCGUCCGCAUACCUAUUCUCACGAAGCACACUUUCUCCCUGGUUUCCCUUUCACUUAAGCUUUCUAAGAAAUCUUUCCGUAUCGAUGGUAAUCCUCCUGCCCUUGAGUGACUUGUGGAAUCAUGUGACACGCGUCAAACAUGUAAACUGAGCUCCAGGAAUUCUGGAUUUCAGGAGAGGACUGAUUUCUUUCAAAGUGAUAUUUCCACUCACGAAAAUAAAAACGAAAUUCAAUUAAAAAUUGGACAGACAAAGCUACUUAUAAGACUAGUGUCAAUGGAUAAAGUAAAGUAGAAGUCAAGGAGGGCUCCUGGGGAGACAAUGGCAUGUUUUCCUGCUUGUGCUCAGGUGCAUUGUGGGAUUUUUGCCCACUUUAGGCAACUCGCAAAAACUUGGUUUCCAAUGGUUUAAAGAGUAUGACUUUGACUUUAAGCUUGGUUCAAAGUCAUGAUGAACCACCGUAAACUGUUUCUCCUUCUGCGAGUGCUUGUGCAGACAGGGAGGACAGGGAUCUCAGAGGCUCUAGGAUCUGAUCCUUAUCAGAGAUCAGACCAGGAGGCAGCCCUUGCAGCUCAGGUAUGCUAACUUUAUCUUUUUCCAUUAUUAUUUUAACAGAUUAGUAGGCUGUUUCCAAAAAAGGCUCUGUUUUUAACUAGGCAUCUCAUGGAGCUGUGGAAAUAGCAUCUCAAGGACAGGAAUGCUGUCUUAUUUAUCACUGUCCCUGUAACUAGCACAUACAGUAUUUCCAAAAGAUCUUAACAGGCUGAAAUGAAAUACACUGAACCAAAUGAGAUAACGAUAAUUGCCAGAUCCUACCCUUCCCUCCAAAUAUCAAAGGCACAAAUACAAGAUGCAGGAGAUAAUGUCUUCAGGGCUGUUCCUGAGAAACUGACUCAUGAGUUCUCAGUUGACAGUUAACAUGGGUCGUGGCUGCAAAGAUCGAACACAAUUUUAUAUGUGCACAUGUGCCCCAUUAGGAGGAGCAAGGAAGGUGUUAUUCCUGCUCAGCUCUCUGCCCCUCAGAAAUGGAAUAGUAAAUAAAGUUGGGAAGCAUGGAAAAUGAGUUUAAUAUGCCAUGCUUUCUCAGACUAACGGCAGUGAGUCAUGUGAAAUUACACAGUUAGCUUUGGCAAACUGUUUCCCAUUAUGCCCUGAGGGGGAAGGUACACUUACACACAGAAGAGCUCCUUUCGAGGCAGGGGAUGGGAUUUCUUUUUCAUUCUGCAUUCCCUGGAAAGACCAGGAAGGCCCUUUGGGUGCAAUGUUCUAGGAAGGACUUGGGCACAUUGAAGAAUGCCAGGGAAGAGUGAGACCAGCAAGAAAAAGCAAGGCAAAGGCAUCAUGGUGUUUAUUUCAUCAUAUGCUGAGGAAACCAACACACUUUAGCCAGGAGAACGGGCUAUUUAGAGGGCUUUGUAGAGCUGUUGUCAAUGAUUUGAAGGGCUGAACUGCUUGAGAGAAGAGAAAGUAGUUACACUGCAGACAUCUGCAGGGCUGGCUUUAGAGACAAGCAGAUUUAGUUCAGGGCUUUUGUAACAAUCAGUGCUUCCGUAAGUGGGCUGCCUCCUGAGGGUUCUCAAUAGGCGAGGUGAUCACCUGUUAAGGAUGCUUAGGAAGAACUUAUGCACUGGGGCCUGAUGAUCUCUCGACAGCCUUCCAUCCAGUAUGUUUUAUGAGACUGGGGAUCUCUGUGCACAGCAGCAACAUAACAUUGUUCAAACACACCGUGCACAUGGCUAGCUCUGUGGGCAGCGGGGGUGGGAUGAAGUUGUCUGCACUAGAAUCUCUUCUAAAUUUCCAUCUGUUUCAUGCACAUGCAGACAGAAGCUAUUGCUCCCCUUUCCACUAGGAGAACAGUCAGACUGCAGUCAGUGCAUCCCACAAAAGCAGUGAUGGAUUUCAGUGCAUCAAGCUAAAUAUUUUCAUGAAGUAUUUUAACUGAACCAGAUGUUCAAACCAGGCAGAACUGCCACUGCACCCGGCCCUAAAUUUUUUUGCAUUUUUAGUAGAGAUGAGGUUUCACCUUGUGGUCCAGGCUAGUCUCGAACUCCUGACCUCAAGUGAUCCUCCUGCCUCGGCCUCCCAAAGUGCUGGGAUUACAGGCGUGAGCCACAAACCAGGCAGAAUUGCUUGUGGGAUGAGGAGAUAGAUUAUUCUGUAUUUCAUUUCUAUCUUUUACCUUUUUUUUCUUUCUGCCAAGCUGCCUCCAUCUUUUCUUACACCAGAAGGCAAAUUCUUUGGCCCCAUGAAUCUCAUUCUUCUGGUUCACCCCUCUGCCUAGCAGAGUGCCUGGGCCACAACAGACAUUUAACAUGCAUCUGUCUCAUUAGCUGAUUCUCCAAAGACGGCUCAAUUUCCACCUCCCGGGGAUCCCAUGUGUUCUGGAGUGCUGACACCACUCAAAACCUGAGCUCCAAACCUAGAGUGUGGUGCAAGGCUUCCCUUUAGGUCUCUGCAGUUUGUUUAGCUCCACAACGGAACUAGGUCUUAUGUACCUCUGAUUUGCCAUGAUCUCUAGUCCAAUAUCUUGUAACUGAUUCAGUUUGUGCUUUGGAGACAAUAUGAUUCUGAGUAAUAUGUUAAUAAGCCUGCAGAUUUCUUUAUAGUUUUUAAGACUAAAUAGGAUAAAACAAAUCCAUAGUAUAUACCCAUGAAUAUUUUAGUAAGGUGGUAAUUCACUGUGGGAUGUACUAAUAAUUUCUGAGAUCCCUGGAUGCCGUCAAUUCAGAUUAUUUAUACCCUAUGGGCUGGGAGAAGACCAGAGGGUGUGACCUUCACAGACUCCAGACUUCUAAGAAUAUUUUAAUUAUAUAGCAAAGCUUAAAAUAUUCAUUCCUCUUAUUUUUCCCAUCUAUUAGGUUGGUGCAAAAGUAACCGUGGUUUUUGCUAUUACUUUUAAUGGCAAAAAUCGCAGUUACUUUUGCACCAACCUAAUAUAUUUGAUUUAAAUUUUUAGAUGAUACAUUUUAUUUUUUCCCCUCAUCUGUGUAAGCACUGCUCCUUUCCCUUUUAAGUAUUUUCAUCUCUUACUUAAAAUGUUGCUUCUUGACUUUCAAUUCCAACUAAGAUGAUUUUCUAUUUCUAUAGCCUAUCUCUUAAAAAGGUAUCAUCACAAUACACUGAAUUUAGUGUUUCUGUUAGUCAAGAUGUCAAUUACUUUUCUACUUUUAACACUGCAUUGUGUUAUGUGAUCGUGAAGCAAUUCAAGUAGAUGUAGUACCUGCCUGCAAGGAACUUGCAAUCUACCUGCACAUGAGGUACAAAAUAACGGGAGUAUAACAGCUUAUACAUGAUUGUACUUUUAGCACUGAUGCAGAGGAGUGGAAUAAUUCUAGAUGUGCUCAGAUGAACUUAGGCAAAUAGUUUGGAAGUUGUAAAAUGUGUUUCCCAAAGCACAAAAAAUAGAGAGGCAAAAUGUGGAUGACUUGCCCUGUGGGUUGGGGAUGUGUGAAGAGAAGGAACCUGGCUUAGAAACACUGCUGAUUGACUUCAUAAAGGAGUCAUUGGAAGGGACAAAGAAGUAAAGGAAGACAACAUCAGCGGAUGUGGCCUGGGUCAUCUACAUGUGAGGACAGUCACACACUAGACACAAGGCAAAAGGUGUGUCUUUUCUGACCUGGUCAUGCAGAUUAAUGAGUUUUUGAAAUACCACUUUACAUGUCAUAUACUUAGGAAAAAAUAUGAUUUCAUUCAAUGUAUUUUGCAGAUGAAGAAAGAGGAGGUAGGCCUGCCCCACACAUCCCGAUUCUGGUAAGGCAGAGAACUGAAGCUUAAACCCAGGACUUCUGCUUCAAAAUCUUUUACAACAAGCUGGGCUCACCUUCUGGAGGAUUUUUUGGGGGUUUGGGGAAAAAGAGGUGGGUAAAUUUAUAAGUCAGCUCAGAAAGCAAUUCUCACGACUUCACAAUUAAGCCUUAUUUGUGAACAAAAAAACAGCAUUCCUCAGGUUAAGUUAGCACUUUAUUCAAAGGUCUAGGCUCUAAAAGGAUUUUGGACUAUUUCUAAAAGGAAAAUAAAACCCAGACUCAAAUAUACAAAAGCAAGUGCUUGGGUCUCUGAAGGUAAUCAAAACAGGGAGAUGCAAAAUAAAUGUGAGUGAUGAAAAAAAUGCGGAUUCUCAACGUUAGGUCUUCCAGGCAUGUGUGCUGGUGCAUUAGGCCUUCAGCCCAUCACUGCUGCACUGUAUUACACUCUAGGUACACUCAGUUAAAGACAUGAAAUGACCAUAGCUAGAGACAGUAACAUUGUAACCACAGCGUGUCUUCUCCUGGCACAAGCCUCUUGUACAAAGAAGUAGUUCUCCUUGUCCACAAAUCUCAAACCAGGAAAUCCCUAAUUCAUUUAAUGAUCAGGAAAAUGCAAGAGAUUUGUGUAGUUGUGACUCUUCCAGUUACUCCCCGCUGUACCAUUAUUUUAGGUUACCUAUCACACAGGAUGGUGUGCCUGAUGGCACUGGCAGUCAUUUCUCUAUGUCUUGUAGAAAAGUUUACUCCUGGGAAAAACAAUUUGGUCACUAGUCCUUGGACCUAAGUAACAGAAUCUUGAUGAAAUGGUACCCAUGAUCAAAUGUUAAAAGGAAGAAAGGGAUGGAGAAAAGAAGAGAGGAAGGAAGGAAGGAGGAAAGGGAAAGAAAAAGGAGGAA
rnacentral:lncRNA from 1 species